rnacentral:rRNA from 1 species
UGGGGGAUAUUGCGCAAUGGGGGAAACCCUGACGCAGCAACGCCGCGUGAAGGAAGAAGGUUUUCGGAUUGUAAACUUCUUUUGUUAAGGACGAAGAGAUGACGGUACUUAACGAAUAAGCUCCGGCUAACUACGUGCCAGCAGCCGCGGUAAUACGUAGGGAGCGAGCGUUGUCCGGAUUUACUGGGUGUAAAGGGUGCGUAGGCGGCAAGGCAAGUCAGAUGUGAAAUACACGGGCUCAACUCGUGGGCUGCAUUUGAAACUGUUUUGCUUGAGUGAAGUAGAGGCAGGCGGAAUUCCCGGUGUAGCGGUGAAAUGCGUAGAGAUCGGGAGGAACACCAGUGGCGAAGGCGGCCUGCUGGGCUUUAACUGACGCUGAGGCACGAAAGCGUGGGUAGCAAACAGG